GAUGAACGCUAGCGGCAGGCUUAACACAUGCAAGUCGAGGGGCAGCACGGGUAGCAAUACCUGGUGGCGACCGGCGCAAGGGUGCGUAACGCGUGAGCAACAUGCCCUAUACAAGGGGAUAAUCCAGGGAAACUUGGUCUAAUAUCCCAUAGCAUUUAGAGGAGGCAUCUUCACUAAAUUAAAGCUUCGGUGGUAUAGGAUUGGCUCGCGUGACAUUAGCUAGAUGGUGAGGUAACGGCCCACCAUGGCUAUGAUGUCUAGGGGUUCUGAGAGGAAGACCCCCCACACUGGGACUGAGACACGGCCCAGACUCCUACGGGAGGCAGCAGUGAGGAAUAUUGGACAAUGGAUGGAAAUCUGAUCCAGCCAUGCCGCGUGCAGGAAGACGGCCCUAUGGGUUGUAAACUGCUUUUAUAUGGGAGCAAUAAGGUUUACGCGUAGACCGAUGAGAGUACCAUAUGAAUAAGCAUCGGCUAACUCCG
rnacentral:rRNA from 1 species